CCUACGGGGGGCAGCAGUGAGGAAUAUUGGUCAAUGGGCGCGAGCCUGAACCAGCCAAGUAGCGUGAAGGAUGACUGCCCUACGGGUUGUAAACUUCUUUUAUAAAGGAAUAAAGUGAGGCACGUGUGCCUUUUUGUAUGUAUUUCAUGAAUAAGGAUCGGCUCACUCUGUGUCAGCAGCCGCGGUAAUACGGAGGAUCCGAGAGUUAUCCGGAUUUAUUGGGUUUAAAUGGAGCGUAGAUGGGUUGUUAAGUCAGUUGUGAAAGUUUGCGGGUCAACCGUAGAAUUGCAGUUGAUACUGGCAGCCUUGAGUACAGUAGAGGUAGGCGGAAUUCGUGGUGUAGCGGUGAAAUGCUUAGAUAUCACGAAGAACUCCGAUUGCGAAGGCAGCCUACUAGACUGCCACUGACAUUGAUGCUCGAAAGUGUGGGUAUCAAACAGGAUUAGAUACCCCUGUAGUC
rnacentral:rRNA from 1 species